rnacentral:rRNA from 1 species
UACAGAGGGGGCAAGCGUUAUUCGGAAUUAUUGGGCGUAAAGGGCGCGUAGGCGGCUUUGCAAGUGACGGGUGAAAUCCCUCGGCUUAACCGAGGAACUGCCUGUCAAACUGCAUGGCUUGAGACCGGGAGAGGUGAGUGGAAUUCCCAGUGUAGCGGUGAAAUGCGCAGAUAUCAGGAGGAACACCGGUGGCGAAGGCGGUUCUCUGGGAAUAUCCUGACGCUGAGGAGCGAAAGUGUGGGGAGCGAACAGG